UACGAGAGGCCCAAACGUUAUUCGGAAUUACUGGGCUUAAAGAGUUCGUAGGCGGCAUUGCAAGUAGGGUGUGAAAGCCCUCGGCUCAACCGAGGAAUUGCGCUCUAAACUGCAGUGCUUGAGGAAGCUAGAGGUGAGCAGAACAGAUGGUGGAGCGGUGAAAUGCGUUGAUAUCAUCUGGAAUACCGGAGGCGAAGGCGGCUCACUGGGGCUUACCUGACGCUGAGGAGCGGAAGCGUGGGGAGCGAACAGG
rnacentral:rRNA from 1 species